CAGUCGCCGCGGGAAUACGAGGGGGGCAAGCGUUGUUCGGAAUUAUUGGGCGUAAAGGGUGCGUAGGCGGUUUGGCAAGUCUUGUGUGAAAUCUUCGGGCUCAACCCGAAGCCUGCACGAGAAACUGCCGGGCUUGAGUAUUGGAGAGGUGAGUGGAAUUUCCGGUGUAGCGGUGAAAUGCGUAGAUAUCGGAAGGAACACCUGUGGCGAAAGCGGCUCACUGGACAAUAACUGACGCUGAUGCACGAAAGCUAGGGGAGCAAACAGGAUUAGAUACCCCGGUAGUCCCUGUCUCUUAUAC
rnacentral:rRNA from 1 species